ACUAGCAUUUACCCGCUGCUUCACUCGCGUUGAAGUCCUUCGAUAAAUAUCAAAGAUCAUUACAUCCCAAUAGAACUGAAUCAAUGUGAUUCUAAUUUUUUGACAAACAAUUUUUUUAUCUUUCGUAAAAAAUAAUUUUUUUUCUUUAAUAAAAAGUAUCCUAUGUUACUUCUAAUACUUCCAAGAAUAUGUGUACAAAGUUUCAUGAUGAUCAGUUAAGUCGUUUUUGCGUGAAAGCGUAACAAACAAACUUACAUUCACAUUUAUAAUAUUAGAAGAGCACACGACUGAACCCCAGU